rnacentral:rRNA from 1 species
CCUACGGGACGCAGCAGUGAGGAAUAUUGGUCAAUGGGAGAGAUCCUGAACCAGCCAAGCCGCGUGAGGGAAGACGGCCCUAUGGGUUGUAAACCUCUUUUGUCAGAGAACAAAACCCGGGACGUGACCCGGACUGCGUGUAUCCGAAGAAAAAGCAUCGGCUAACUCCGUGCCAGCAGCCGCGGUAAUACGGAGGAUGCGAGCGUUAUCCGGAUUAUUUGGGUUUAAGGGUG